GAUGAACGCUGGCGGCGUGCCUAAUACAUGCAAGUCGAGCGAACGGACGAGAAGCUUGCUUCUCUGAUGUUAGCGGCGGACGGGUGAGUAACACGUGGAUAACCUACCUAUAAGACUGGGAUAACUUCGGGAAACCGGAGCUAAUACCGGAUAAUAUUUUGAACCGCAUGGUUCAAAAGUAAAAGACGGUCUUGCUGUCACUUAUAGAUGGAUCCGCGCUGCAUUAGCUAGUUGGUAAGGUAACGGCUUACCAAGGCAACGAUGCAUAGCCGACCUGAGAGGGUGGUCGGCCACAUUGGAACUGAGACACGGUCCAGACUCCUAAGGGAGGCAGCAGUAGGGAAUCUGCCGCAGUGGGCGAAAGCCUGACGGAGCAACGGCGCGUGAGUGAUGAAGGUCUUGGGAUCGUAAAACUGUGUUAUGAGGGAAGAACAUCUGUGUAAGGAACUGUGCACAUCGUGACGGUACCUAAUCAGAAAGCCACGGCUAACUACGUG
rnacentral:rRNA from 1 species